UACCAAGAGUUACUGAACAAACACAAUGGCUCACAGGUAUCCAUGGGAACGAUAGAGAGGUUUGCGUUCUAUGACACGGCCAAGAAAGCUUACGCAGUCAUCGCAACAGGGGAGACUGCAAUCUACGGCAACAUCAUCUUGACCAAGGGAAACACGUUCAACUAGGGGGCAAGCUGUCAGGAUUCACCCCGCCCCAAAACUCCGGUCCCCUCUUCCACACCCCUGCAGUGUUCUCAAGGGCAUCCAUCCCCUGGGGCGACAGACGAGGCACCAAUCAUGCAGUUUUCCCUACCAAGUGGGUCCUUAGGAGUUGGCAGCUUUUCUCUGUGCUGCUGUGCAGAUGUAGUGUAUGUAUAGCUCUGUUCACACGUGGUUUUAAACUUCAAGUUUGCGAAGGCUGAAAGUUUUAAAUGACAUGGAAUCACACAGGACCGAAAAAAUGAAUGUUCAAAGUUUUAAACGAGUUGAGCAAGCUUUCCUUGUAUCUAAAUGUGCAAGCCGGUGAAAUCUCAAAGUUCUAUGCACUGCAGAAAACUUCAAGUAAAAACCCCAAUUGCUCAUGUUUUAUAACCUCAAUUCAACUUAAUGUUUUGAAACAAUGACUGCAUCCCCACGGCCCUUGACUACGAGAUAACCUCAAAGUUUAAAAAACUAGGUGCUAAACUUCAGUGCAUGGAAUCUCUUGUGUGAACAUGACUUAUGUAUUUAAUGGGUAGGAUUAAAUAAUUGAAUCCUCAAGUAAUACCUCUGUAAUGGGUAAUGACAGAACAUAGAGGGCUGGGUGACCCAGGCAAUGAAACAUCGGUGAAGGGAAAUUUGAAGCGGAGUAGCCGUGAGAAAAAUGAUAAUACUAAUUUGGGACCAAGUAUUUUGUAAACACAGAUGGUUGCAGCGGAAAAAAGUGUUGCUAAAAUCAUUGGAACACUGCCAGGUUAGAAUUGCAUGGCCAAUUGCACCAUCCAUGACUUGGCAACAUAAUGGUAUGUGGUUAAAUACUGAUCGUGCAAGAAAAAAAUUGCUUUGUGAUAAAAAGAAAUUAUCCAGAAGUUAUGUGGAAUGUUUAAAUAUGUAGUAAACAAAUGUAAUCGUGAAUUAUGAUGUUUUAAACAAUCAAAAUGAUAGAAAAUUGAUUUUAGUGAAAAUUUAAAAAAUGGUUAGAGCACUGCACAGGAAUAUGGGUAUACGGGACUCCACACGUUUAACUACAUGAAUACCUAAGCUUUAUUAGAAUACAAGGGUACUUCAAUACUCCAGAGCAAUCUUCAUCACUUGAAAUUAUACUAUGACGUUCAUCCACAUAGGAAUUUUUUAAAGAAACAAGAAAGGUACUUAUUUUCUUUUUACCCAUGUCUGAAUUCAACCUCUUAAAUUUUGCCUGGAGAAAGCAAGAAUUCAUGGAUAAAAGAAACUUAACAUUGAAGAAUAUGUUGGGUGUAAGCAAAUUCUAUUAACUUCUUAUAAUUUUAAAUUGAAAUACUUGUAUAAGAGUGCUUGAGAUACUGUAUGGCAUGGCAUGUGGGCACGGAGAGGGACUGCGUAACUGAUCACUUGUGCUUUCACGUUGCUGUACAAGUAUGUCGACUGUGACGUAAUUAUCCUCUCAAGGUACAAAAUAACAUAUCUUGCUAUUGUAAAGAUGUUGUAAAAGAAAGAAAUUUAACAAUGAAGAAAAUGUUGUGUUCCAAGCAAAUUCUAUUGAUUUCUUAUACCGGUAAUUUUAGAUUGAAGUACUUGUAUAAGAGUGCCUGAGAUACUGUAUGGAAAAACAUGUGGGCACGAAGAAGGACUGCGUAACUGAUCACAUGUGCAUCCGCAUAGGAAUUUUUAAAAAAUAACCAAGAAAGGUACUAAUUUUAUUUUUUACCUUUAUCUGAAUUCAACCUCUUAAAUUUUGCUCCAAGCAAUUUCAAUUUAUUUCUUAUAAUUUUAAAUUGAAAUACUUGUAUAAGAGUGUUUGAGAUACUAUAUGGCAAAACAUGUGGGCACGGAGAAGGACUGCGUAACUGAUCACAUGUGCUAUCACGUUACUGUACAAGUAUGUCGACUGCGACGUAAUUAUCCUCUCAAGGUACAAAAUAACAUAUCUUGCUAUUUUCUUGAUUAAGUACUUUUACAGACAUGGUUGAAAGACAAGGAGAUGUCAUCAAUGAAAGAAACCCAGCGUACGAAAGUCGUCAAGCAUAAAUACUUGACUUUGCAAGUGUUCUUGGUGUAUCCCUCUUAUGAAACGAACAACCCACGUCCAAUUUUCUCAUCACAUAUUGGUCAAAUAAUUUGAUCAAUGGUUGAUGUGUGUAUCUCAGUUUUUCACAGUCUUAGGAUAUAAAAGCAUUCAUGACUGGAAAGUGAAUGUUUAUGAUUAUUAGAUUGAUAUGAUAUGUGAUUGAGAUGGAUUAUUUGUUUUAAAAAAUAUAUUGUAAAAGGUGACUAGAAAGCCAACUUGAAGGGUCUUUUUAAUGUGACAUUGACUGCUGAGAAAACAAAAAUUGAUUACUUAUUUUCAUAACUAUGUCAAGAAAUCUAAAGUAAUCUCUAUUUUUAUAUUACAUGAAUAAUGGGAAUGUGUGAUAUUUAUAGUAGAUUUAUGUUUUGUAAUGAAAUCACACAUAAAUUGAUGAUGGCCAUUCUCUCUUGAAGGGUUUUCUCUUAGAAUUCAGCUGAGUAUCUAUCAUGUGACUGCAUUAAUUGUAAAAGAAACUGUGUGGAAGUAAUGGUGAGAGGUCGAUGAUGUAGUACAUACAAUUACAUAUACAUAAAACGAAUAGAUAUUGACUUGAUUGUGCUGAAAAAAAUGCUUUUAAACCAUUUAUGGCAUUCUAUCAUUCUAUCGUAAUUCCAUUUUUUUUACACCUCAUGUAUUUUGAAGAAAUAAUUGAUUAAAACAUGUUAACUAAAAAAUA